rnacentral:lncRNA from 1 species
GAACUCACUGCGCACGCGCCGGUCGGCUGGCCGCACCCACGCGGCGCAGCUCCCAAAGUUGCAGACAGCCCGGCGAACCGCGCAAUGCGCUUCUUCUGCCUGCAGCAGAGAAAAGGAAAGAAAACUCCGCAGGGGCUCCGUUGGCUUCUCCACGAGUGACAACCAUGUUUUCCCAGAUAGAAGACCGGAGCCCUGCUCCUUUGCGAUCCGCCGAGGGCUGCAGAGAGCAUCCUCAUCCAUUUGGGCACCCCUGCCCAGGAAGAGCCCGGCCAUCCCUUUCCGGACUGGAUCCUUAAGAGGUGAAUUUUCUUCCGUGGAUUCCGAUUUGCUCCGUCUGACCAGCCUAGGCAAUCCAGCAUCGCGUGGUACCAGUGCCGCUGGGCACACUGGCUUCACGCCGGCUCCGCCUCACCAGCAAGCGCAUUCCCAGGUGGUCAGGCUCAGGAUGGACCAUGAGCUUUCAAAAAGGAAAAAGGUGGAAAUCCUCAACUAUGCUGCCAUCUGAAUAAGUGUUUCUUUGUAGAUGCACAGAGUCAAGGAAAAUUACAUCCCUGCAUUAUGUAAUGUACCAACAACGCACUUACCCACUGUUUUAAUCUAGGUUAUUCUUGAAAGCAGAGCCUGAGACAAAGGUAGACACAUUCUAUUUAUGAGUCUAACACCCAGGAGCAGGAAUGAGAGAUAGGGGAGUGAACUGGGGAAAAGGGAAACUAAGUCCGAGCAAAACCAGAUACUGCUCUUAUCAAGUGGUCCACCCCUAUUAAUGGCUACAUAAUGCAGAACUUUCUCAGGAUUCUUCUUAAACUUUAUCUCAGAACUGUCUGCCUCAGGGAGAAAGGAGAAGUAUUUCUCCAUCAGCAGCCACCUCCUGUGUGUUGAGGGCUGCUCCUUUGGGGCAUUAACCCACUGCCUCCACCACCCCAACCCUCUGGGCUGCAAAGAGCUAGCUGACAGUCCAGCUGGUACCUUAGCAUCACACAUUGCUGCAUCAGAGAGGUCUUAAGACAGGAAGCUAGAGUCUUGGUGCAUGCUCGAAGUGAGACGGUGUCAGCACAGAGCAGGGUAAAAUCUUCCCGUUAACUCUUCACCAGAGCUAUGACUGGAAUCAGAGGUUGAAAAGAUGUGAGACUGUACCCAAGAAGCAUCUUAUAAGCCUACGUAAUAUACUGUUAGACUCAUCGAAAUCUAUUUCCUCCCUUCUUUAUAAUCAAAACUUCAGUGUCCAGAAUAAAGUUGGCAGAAGGGUUAAAUUGGAAAGUUAAAUGUACUAGAAGGUGUACAUUUAUAAGUUUUGACCUUGAGUCGUGUUCAAGGAGAAAGUGACAUUGGAACUUGGAAAAUUUAAAAAUGAUUCUACUUGAAAAAUUUGACCAUUGCAUAGAAAUAUUAGCUAUCGUCUAAUCUUUUGUAAUCUUAGAAACAAUCGUGAAUUGUUUGGUGAAAAAUGAAAAAAUAACCAUUUCUUAUGUCUCCGUGACCUUUAUAGACCAAUGUCACCAACUUUUCCUAAGGUAAUUGUUUCCUACUGUCAAAUAGCUCUAGUGAUAUAAAUCUUAACAAUCAAUGAAGGGAAAACUGGUGGAAACAUAGGAGGAAAAAUACUGGGAUAAUUUUCAUCACAAAGUAUUGGCAUUAACAUUGGUUAGAAUAGGGGAGAAACUGCAUGACUUGACAACUGGACAUUCCUGUAUGUUGUAUGAGGCCCUGUCUUAACAGAAAUAGUGAUGUCAUCAUCAUCCUCUCUUAUUUGGUCUUGAAUUGCCACCAAUCGGAUAAAACCUUUGAAUUAUUUAACUCAAUAUAUGUUAAGUUUCUACUAUGUGCUGUGUAUUGGUACUAUAAAUAUGAAUAAGACAUAAGAUAUUACAUUCAAAAACAUCAGAAUACAUGUUCUUUUAAAGUAUACCCCAAAACAUUUACCAUGUGUUCUGGGGCGCAUGUUAGGCUGGAUCACAAAUCAAGUCUCAAGAAUUUCAAAAGAUUGAAAUCAUAUAGAGUAUGAAUUAAACCAGAAAUCAAGUACAUAAAGGUAACAAAAAAUUUCCAAAAUGCAUUAAUUUAAGGAACAUACACCUCAUGACCCAUGAGCCAAAAAAUAAAUCACGGCAAAAUUGCAAAAAUAUUUUGAAAUGAAUUUUAAAGAAAAUACUUAGCAUAUUAAAUACUUAGCAUAUUAAAGCUCUAAGUACAUAUGUUAGAAAUUUUACCGAAAGGUUGGCUAUCAGUGUUUCCAGAAGCCAGGGAAAAAGUUUAUACAAUUUGAUCGCUGAGGCAGGGAAACAAAGUGAGACCUCCGAUCGCCCUGCCUUUCUGAGGUGAGCACUCUGGAUCCCAUCGCAGGAGAUCAGAGUCUUGCUGAGUUGAGGAGAGGAAGAUUGGAGUUGAUACUGAGAUAGCUUGAAUUUUCAGGACAAAGUAUCAACAAGGAGGAAGGUAGACAAAAAAAUCCAGAAAUCUAUGUAGAGACCCCAUUGUGUACAUUGCGGAACACUAAGCCUAACAAUUCUCAAAAUUAGCGUGAGAUUGGGAAAUAUCUAAUUUCCAUCCAGCCACAGUGGAGAGUCCUGACUGAAAACCAGGCAUUCGCUAAAGAUCCCAGAAAGGUUGUGUGUUACAUACGUAGGGCUAAACUAUCCUGACUAAAAACUACACUACACUUGCUCCUCACCCCCACAAAAAGCUUAAAAACAAGCCUCAAUAGUAUAAAGCUGAUCUGUAAGUAACUAAACUACCUGCAGAACAAAGUCCAAAUUUAUUAGUUCCAGUACUCCAAAAAAAACACAUGUAAAAAAAAAAUAGAUUUACAAGACAUUUAUUUGGGGAAAAAAAGAAUGCCUGAGGGUUGAAAUGGAGAGGAAGCCAGAGAGACAGAGUCCUCAGAAUACAUAAAAUUUCUGGCCUCCAUGGAGGUGUGAUGGUUAAUUUUAUGCAUGUCAACUUCGCUGGGCCACAGGAUGCCCCAUAUAUGAUCGAACAUUAUUUCUGGUUGUGUUCAUGAAGCUUUUUCUGGAGGAAAUUCGCAUUUGAAUUGAUGGACUGAAUAAAGCAGAUUGCAGUCCCCAGUGUGGAUGGGCUUGAUCCAGUCUUCUAAGGACCCAAAUAAAAUAGGUGGAGGAAGCUUGAAUUUUCUGCCUGACUGUGGCGCUGGGACACCCAUCUUCUCCUGCCCUUGAACUGGGACUGACACCAUCAGUGCUCCUGGUUCUCAGACCUUCGGACAGCAGACUUGGGGCCUUCUCGGCCUCCAUUAUUGUAGGAGAAAAUGAGACACUGAGUGGGACUCAGGGAUUGCUCCAGGCCACACAGUCAGCAGGAGGCAAAGCCCAGAUUCAAAUGCAGAUUACUCAGCUCCACAAUCCACAUCCUCACAGGAGGCUGCACUCCUUGCCCAAGCGUCAGACAGGAGCAAAGAGAAAGAAGGCAACCAGCUGGCUACUUUCUUCCCUUCUUGGAUGCCUCCAACAGGAUAAAACACUAACUCAGAGAAGAAAUUUAACUGCAAAUUUGGUUAAUGACCAUGGAUUCCUAAUGAGAAGAAAAGCUAGACACUGAGAGUUUAGAAUAAACUCAAGAAUCUUAAAAAUUUUCCCAUGGAACUGCCUUUGCACCUCUAUAAAAAAUUAAUUGACCAUAUGGUAAGUAACAUGUGAGUUUACAUUGAGGAUAGAUGAGCCUUUGGACAAAAUUAGAGUGAUUUAAUUUUACAAUAAAAACAACUCUAUGUCUUUUUCUUGGUUCUGUCAUCAUGUAAAAAAUAAUGCUUGCAAAAUUUUUUAUUAACACAACACUUGGGCUUAAUUUCCAAUAAUUUCUAUUUUUAAAAUGUCUUCCAUUAGUGUCUUGGAUCUUGGAAGAUAUAAUUCUGUCUGGAAAAUUUUUAAGACAAGAUAAAAAAUAUAUAUAUAUACACACACACAUACAUACAUAUAUAUGUGUAUAUAUAAAUAAUUUAAAUGAAAUUGUCUUGACACAUGUUUUUCAAAGAGUAUAAUCUUGUGAACUUUUCUAAUACUACAAAUCACAGGAUUUAAUCUUCUGACUUAAAUUGUACUUUCCAGAUAUUUAGUCACUCUAAGAUGUUAAACUAAUGUUAAAUUGUUUUAUUUAAUGAAUAAUCUUUGGAUAUAUAAUUUUUCUAUAAGAAAAAACAGAAAACUUUGAUUAUUAGAUAUAAUUUUAAAUUUCUUUUACCUUUAUACAUAAAAUCACUACAGAUUAAGGAGAUGUACAAAUGUCCUUAAAUUAUAUUAAAUGCACUUACUUUGCCAUCUUAAAAUUUAUUUAAGUAAAAUAACAUAUAUGCUCAUAAAAAUAGUUUUAUUGAUCUUGGUUACCUAUCUUCUAGUUUUCUCUUGUGUCUGGAAAAAUAAAAGUUGGUUAAUUUUGUUAAAGGUGGUAAUUAAUAAAAUCGACUAUGCAGACAUUUAUACAUUUACUUAUACAUAAAAAUAUAUUUAUGUACUUUAAUCUCUAUAUUACUCUUCUAAUUCAAUUUUUAAAGUAAAGUUCCAUUUUUCUGUAUGGUUCUAUGAGUGUAACACAUGCACAGAUUCUUGUAAGCUUCAUCACAAAUAGGUUAUAGAACAAUUCCACACCUUCCCCAAAAUGUCUCUUUUCCUGCUCAGUAGAUAGUCAAACUCUCCCCUCAGGCCUAAGCCUUGCAACCACUGAUCUUCUUUCCCUCUAUUUUUGCCGUUUUUAGAAUGUCAUACAUAUUUAGCCUUUUAAGAUUUACUUCUUUAACUUAGUAAAUGCAUUUGAGAUUCAAUCAUGUUGUUGCAUGUACCAAUAAUUUAUUUCUUUUUAUUGCUGAGAAGUAUUUCAUGGGUUGUUUAUCCAUUUACCCACUGAAGAACUUUUAGUCUGUUUCCAUUUUUGGGCAAUAUGAAUAAUGUGGUUCUGUUAUAAACAUUCAUGUCCAGGUUUUUGUGUGAAUAUAAGUUUUUAUUUCUCUACAGUUAAUACCUAGGAAUCAGAUUCCUGGGUUAUAUGAUAAGUGUAUGUUUAACUGCCAAACAUUUCUAAAGUAGCUAUUUCAUUUUGCAUUUCCACCAGCAAUUUAUAGGAGUUUCAAUUGCUCCACAUAUUUGCCAGCAUUGAUAUUGUCAUUAAGAAAAGUCAUUCUAAUAGGUGGGUGGUGGUAUCUCAUUUUGGUUUUCAUUUGGAGUUCCCUAAUGACUAAUGAUGUUGAGCAUAUUUGAUGCACUUAUUUGACAAUCAUAUUUUUUCUUUGAUAAAGUGUCUCUUUAAAUCUUUUGACUUUUUUUUCAAUUGGGUUGUUUUAUUAUUGUUGAGUUUUGAGAAUUCUUUGAAUAUUCUGAACUCAAGUUCUUUGUUGGAUAUAUGAUUUUCAAAUUAUUUCCUCCCUAUCUGUGGCUUUUCACUCUCUUAAAAAAGAACACAGGGCAAAUGUUUUAAAUUUUUAUGAGGUUCAAUAUAUUGAUUUUUCUUUUAUGACUCUUGCUUUUGGUGUAAUAUCUAAGAACUCUUUGCCUAACCUGAGGUCACAAUGAUUUUCUCCUGUUUUCUUUUAAAAUUUUUAUAUAUUUACCUUUUAUUUUUAUGAGUUAAAUUUUAGUACAUGAUGUCAGGUAAGAGUGGAUGAUCAUUUUAUUGGCAUAUGAAUGUCCAAUUGUUCUAGUACCAUUUGUCAAGGCUAUACUUUUCCCAUUGAAUUGCCUUUGCACCUCUAUAAAAAAUUAAUUGACCAUAUG